rnacentral:rRNA from 1 species
UGCGUAGGUGGUCUUGUAAGUCAGAAGUGAAAGGCUACGGCUUAACCGUAGUAAGCUUUUGAAACUGCAGGACUUGAGUGCAGGAGAGGAAAGUGGAAUUCCUAGUGUAGCGGUGAAAUGCGUAGAUAUUAGGAGGAACACCAGUGGCAAAGGCGACUUUCUGGACUGUUACUGACACUGAGGCACGAAAGCGUGGGGAGCGAACA